rnacentral:sRNA from 1 species
GUGGGCCCCGCCCUCUACGGGGGCACUGGCGCGGAAACUGGCCCUGUGUCCAAGAAAGAACGUACUUUGGCGUUCUUAUGAGCUGUCUAGUACAAAUUAUUGGCAGAAACAAUGAAUUAAACAUUCAAAAAGUAACCCACCGGCCGGCCGCAGCGGCUCACGCCUGUAAUCCCAGCACUUUGGGAAGCUGAGGCGGGCGGAUCACCUGAGGUUGGGAGUUCGAUACCAGCCUGACCAAUAUGGAGAAACCCCGUCUCUACUAAAACUACAAAAUUAGCCGGGCGUGGUGGCGCAUGCCUGUAAUCCCAACUACUCGGGAGGUUGAGGCAGGAGAAUCUCUUGAACUUGGGAGGCGGAAGUUGCAGUCCAGCACUAUUGGCACCAGGUCACCAGGACCCACUUCAGCACAAGGAAUGUCAUCAAGGUGCCACUGCAGAAGCGGGCAGUGCCCUCCAUGAGGUGCGAAACUGUCUUCAAGCUGACUCCUGAAUUCUUCAGUCCUGGAAAGUCCAGGGGCCUAGAUUCUCAACAAUGCGCACAAAGGCAGAGAUGGGGAUACCGGAGGAGCCUCCAGGAAUCAUGGGCCCAGAACCUGCUCUCUCCACAGCACCCAUGUCCAGGCCCACCUUCAGGUAUCCACACCCACUCUGAGCCCAUCUUUUGUGCUACCUCCAUUUCAAACACCUGUUUACUGCCUCAGGACAGUUCCUGGAAAACAUGGCAGGUGCCUUGGUGUCUCCAUGAUGGUCAGACUCGCCCCGCCUUGGACAUGUGUCAAGAGAUGGAGCAGCUGCUGCUUCACUCACAGGAAAG